AAAAAAAAACCCUCGGCAGCAAAUGUUUGAGGUGUCGCGUUCUAUUAUGUCCUCUGUCUUCUUAAAGACACUUUCUUUGAACAAAUUCACUAAAGUCCGUUCCCAGCUCGCUGAUUACCUGGAGCACAGCCAGGGGGCGCCGUGAGUGUUGAGGUGAAGAUGUCUGUACAGUGUUUUUUUUCAUCAUGAACGCACACAAGCUAAGAUCACAAUACGCAGCGUGAUGUUUGUCGCACAACAAGUACACAACUGCGCCGCCGUGUCCGUCACAGGCUGCAGCGGCACGAUAAAAACAACGGAAAAAAAAACAAAAGAAAAAACAGUUAGAUAUAUUCCGGCGGGCGUGGCCGAACACCACACAGAGGUCCCUUUGCCCUAACUACCACGUGACGGGGACACAUGACGCCUACCCACGGGGUGUCCAUCCGCCAUCUCGUGCGUGCGUCCGCCCCGGCGCAGAAAGUCGCCCCCCGUUAGGAAUCCCUGUCGCUGUCGUCGGCGCCGUACAUGUCAGCCAGUUUCUUAAAGCGCGGCCCCCACUCGCUCAGGUAGUUGUAGUCCUGCUCCCCCUCGGUGGUGGCCGACUCCAGCGAGCUGAGCGACUCGGCCACGGAGCCGCUGCCCUCGUAGGCGUACGUGGCCAGCGAGUCGUACGGCGGAGCGGUGGGGUCGCCGUCGUUGUCCUGGAUCCUCUGGUUGAUGAAGUCCCUCACGUCGCCGUUGUUGUUGUCCCGGGCCGGGGGGGGCGCGGGCCGCCUGGCCGGCGGGUAGUAGGCCUCGGGGAGGAUGUCCCGCCGCUGCUUGGCGUCCUCGAUGGCCUCGGGGUUGCGCAGCGUGCCGAUGUCGAAGGCCUGGGUGUCCUCCUCGCCGCCGCCCUCGUCGUUGUAGCUGACCACGUUGUCCCGUACGUCCUCUUUGGAGAUGAUCAGGGGCUCCUUCUUGCGUUGCCUCCUCAGGGCGGCGAACAAAACCACGAUCACUGCGGGGGAACAGGAAACAGUCAGGAGCGCGGCCGCCGCCGUAUUGUGUUCCCGUCCUCGUAGCCACCGCUUAACAUCACGAUUUAGGAACAAGGCAAAUGAUCAUGCCGAUACAUCGGAAGUGCAGAUAAAUACUGAUAUUGUUUAUUCCAUCCAUCCAUUUUCUACCGCUUAUUCCCUUUUGGGGUCGCGGGGGGCGCUGGCGCCUAUCUCAGCUACAAUCGGGCGGAAGGCGGGGUACACCCUGGACAAGUUGCCACCUCAUCGCAGGGCGAUAUUGUUUAAUAUAUACCGUAUUUCCUUGAAUUGCCGCCGGGUAUACGGUAUAGCGGCGGUCACCAACCUUUUUGAAACCAAGAGCUACUUCUUGGGUACUGAUUCAUGCGAAGGGCUACCAGUUUGAUACACACUUAAAUAAAUUGCCAGAAAAAGCCAAUUUGCUCAAUUUACCUUUAAUGAAUAAAUCUAUAUACAUAUAAAAAAUUGGUAUUUCUGUCUGUCAUUCCGUCGUACAUUUUUUUUCCUUUUACAGAAGGUUUUUUGUAGAGAAUAAAUGAUGAAAAAAACACUUAAUUGAACGGUUUAAAAGAGGAGAAAACACGAAAAAAAUGAAAAUUAAAUUUUGAAACAUAGUUUAUCUUCAAUUUCGACUCUUUAAAAUUCAAAAUUUAACCGAAAAAAAUGAAUAGAAAAACUAGCUAAUUCGAAUCUUUUAAAAAUAAAAAAAGAAUUUAUGGAACAUCAUUAGUAAUUUUUCCUGAUUAAGAUACAUUUUAGAAUUUUGAUGACAUGUUUUAAAUAGGUUAAAAGCCAAUCUCUUUGUUAGAAUAUACAACAAAUUGGACCAAGCUAUAUUUCUAACAAAGACAAAUCAAUAUUUCUUCUAGCUUUUCCAGAACAAAAAUUUUAAAAGAAAUUCAAAAGACUUUGAAAUAAGAUUUAAAUUUGAUUCUACAGAUUUUCUAGAUUUGCCAAAAUAUUUUUUUUUAAUUUUAAUCAUAAUAAGUUUGAAGAAAUAUUUCACAAAUAUUCUUUGUCGAAAAAAAAAAGCUAAAAUGAAGAAUUCAAUUAAAAUGUAUUUAUUAUUCUUACAAUAAAAAAAAAUUACUUGAACAUUGAUUUAAAUUGUCAGGAAAGAAGAGGAAGGAAUGUAUCCUAAAACCAUUUUUAAGGUUGUAUUUUUUUCUCAAAAAUUGUCUUUCUGAAAGUUAUAAGAAGCAAAGUAAAAAAUCAAUGAAUUUUUUUAAACAAGUGAAGACCAAGUCUUUAAAAUAUUUUCUUGGAUUUUCAAAUUCUAUUUGAGUUUUGUCUCUCUUAAAAUUAAAAAUGUCGAGCAAAGCGAGACCAGCUUGAUGGUAAAUAAAUAAAAUUUUAAAAAUAGAGGCAGCUCACUGGUAAGUGCGGCUAAUUGAGCUAUUUUUAGAACAGACCAGCAGGCUACUCAUCUGGUCCUUAUGGGCUACCUGGCGCCCGCGGGCACCGCGUUGGUGACCCCUGCUGUAUAGUAUGCGCCUGCCUUGAAUUACUGGGUCAAACUCAUUUUGUAAAAUAAUUAGCGCAUGCUUAGCAUUACCGCCGGGUCAAGCAAAACAUUAUUUUUAUUAGCGCAUGUCUAGAAUUUCCGCCGGGUCAAACUCGUCAUAUCACGAGUGACACUUCACCCGUCAUCAUUUUCAAAAUGGAGGAGGCUGAUUUAAAUAAUUUGAAAUGCAUAAAGGGAAGAAGAUUAAGAGCUAUUCAGGAGGAUUUAAGGUCCAAGCUAUUGAAUAUGCUAAAAAGAACAGUAAAAAGCUAUGUUUUAUUAAUAUACCGUAGCUGCGUGUGUCAAAUAUGAGUCAUUAAAUGACUCCCGCCUCCUGGUGGUAGAGGGCGCUAGUGAUCCUUCUUGCGACUACUCGGCUGCAGAAGAAGUGACAACAAGCAGCAAGAGUGAGCAGCCAUUGUUUAUUUUUUCCUCUUGCUUGCACUUUUAACAUGGAGGAUUACAUAUCUAAAAUAAAACAGUUUUCUAAACUGGACUUUCUGUCAAAGCAGGAGGUAAUAAAGGAAGAUCUCCAUCGAGACAGAGAGACUUUUAAAACUGAAGAAAGAUAAGGAAGACUUCUAUAAACAAGUUAUCGAUGCUUUUGAUCAGAAAGAGCUGCGCAUGGACUUCAUUUAUAAGUAAAGGUAAGACCACAAUAACGUUUUUUUUUAUUAAAUGUGCUAAUGAUGGUAUCCUUACAUCACACUCAAAUUUAUAAGCGCAGGCCUAAAUUUACCGCAUGCCUUUGGUAAACGCCGGAGUGAGAAGAGGUUUUAAAUUAAUUAGCGCCCCAGCGGCAAUUCAAGGAAAUACGGUAAUAUCAAACAAGCCUUUAUUUAUUGAUUAGUUGAUGUGACAACUGCAACACUGACUGGUCAAACAUAGACACACUCAUUUACCACAUAAAAUAUAUUUUUAUCUGUUUUACUUUCGCUUUAAAUUAUGUUUUCAAUCAAUCAAAGUUUACUUGUAUAGCUCUAAAUCACGAGUGUCUCAAAGGGCUGCACAAGCCACAACAUCCCACAUCAGGGCAAGAAAAAACUCAACCCUAUGGGAUGACAACGAGAAACCUUGGAGGGGACCACAGGUAUGUUCAUUCUUACUUACUCUCUUGAUAAUAGUCCCUAUCUAGAAUAGCUGUUUUCAACCUUUUUGGCCUCAAAUAUUAACAGUGAAUUACUAGUCUUAUCUACAUCGUAUUAACCACUAAUACGUAACCUACUCACAGUUGAACAGGAUACACAUUGUCCAAUGACAUGAAAUUUUACAAAUAUUAUAAAGGCUUAGGUCAGGCUGAUUAGAAAAAUAAAAACUGAUCAAAUAUACUGCAAAGGAAGGUACUGAUAAAACCAGGACAUACAAGUACACUGUGCUGAAAUAAAUAGACAAACUAAAUGAAUGAAAAUGUCAACAAUUUAGUCAUAUUUUUUGCACUUGUUUGUUAUUGUCAUUACUGCCACAAGUGGUGAAAAAGUGUAUUACAUCGGAGUACCACUGCGGCACAUACGAACAGAAAUAGAUUUUUUGUUGACCCUAUGGUUAAGAAAACUGAUCUCGAUGAUUUAAAUAUUUAUGGUCAUACAACAAACAUUGCAGUAAUUCUGUUGCUUUAUUAUGUAAGACUAUUAUUUUAUUAAUUAUAACGGUUUGGUUCAUUCACAGAACUGUGCAAUUAAAUACUAAAAAAAUGAUAUUGAAACUGUGACUAACUUAUUUAUUCCCUGACAUUUGUCAUAAUUUUGGUUGAAUUAUUUGAGCAAAAAUUCAUAUAUAUAUAUUUGUUAAAAAAUUUAUUUUCAGUACAGGCAUUUAUUUUAUUUUAUGAGCAAUAUUAAAUGUUUUAUGGUAUUUAAUGGCAUUUGUCUUUUUCUAUAUUCCAUGACUGUUUACAUCGUUAAAUAAUGUCCAUUAUUUGUGUCCAUUCACAUUUUGCAUACAUUUAGCAUUUUUUAUUUUAUUUUAGGAGCAAUAUUACAUGAUAUUGUAUUUCGUUGCCUUUGUCUUUCUAUACUUCAUGACCUUUCACAUCAUUUAAAGGCCUACUGAAACCCACUACUACCGACCACGCAGUCAGAUAGUUUAUAUAUCAAUGAUGAAAUAUUAACAUUGCAACACAUGCCAAUACGGCCUUUUUAGUUUACUAAAUUACAAUUUAAAAUUCCGCGCCGAAGUAUUCUGCUGAAACGACGCGGUAUGACGCCAGGUGCGCGUGAAGUCACGAAUUGUAGAGGACAUUUUGUUCCAGCACCGUUCCCAGCUAUAAGUCGUCUGUGUUGCUGAAUCUUUUGCAAUUUGUUCAAUGAAUAAUGGAGACGUCAAAGAAGAAAGCUGUAGGUGGUAAGCGGUGUAUUGCGGCCGCCUUUAGCAACACAAACACAGCCGGUGUUUCAUUGUUUACAUUCCCGAAAGAUGACGGUGAAGCUUUACUAUGGAACAGAGCGGUCAAGCGAUCACUGUUGGAUUGGAUCCCACACACAAAGUACAGUGUAUUAUGCAGCAAUCAUUUUGAAAGAUCGUGUUUCGAAGAGGGUCCCUCGCGAAGGGCAGAGAUGGGCAUCGCCACAACCCGUCGACUGGUGCUGAAGAAAGGUGCGGGGCCAACCUUCAGGUUGUACAGGUACGACCAUAUAAUCUCACUAAAAUACUACUAACACAAUAAGCAGAUAAGGGAUUUUCCAGAAUUAUCCUAGUAAAUUUGUCUUAUAACAUCUGAAUCGCUCCCACUGUAUAGUCUUUUUAUUAAUUUUUUUCUAGUCCUUCACUCUCACUUUCCUCAUCCACAAAUCUUUCUUCCUCGCUCAAAUUAAUGGGGAAAUCGUUGAUUUCUCGGUCCGUAUCGCUCUCGCUGCUAGUGGCCAUGAUUGUAAACAAUGUGAGGAUGUGAGGAGCUCCACAACCCGUGACGUCACAUGCAUAUCUUAUGUCUGCUACUUCCGGUACAGGCAAGGCUUUUUUAUUAGCGACCAAAAUUUGCGAACUUUAUCGUCGAUGUUCUCUACUAAAUCCUUUCAGCAAAAAUAUGGCAAUAUCGCGAAAUGAUCAAGUAUUGCACGUUUAAAUAAGAAAAUCUCAUUUCAGUAGGCCUUUAAUGAUGUUAUAUUUUUAAAAUGUUAUAUUUCUAGUGUUUUUCUUUUCUGUAUUGGCCUUUUUCUCAUUUUAGGAGCAAUAAUAAAAAAAAAUAUGUAUUUAAUGGCAUUUGUCUUUUUUAUCUUUCAUUACAUUUGUAUCAUUUAAUGAUGAAUUAAUACAAUUAUUUUAAUCAUUUUUUUAAUCCUACAUUGUUAAUUGUAUUGGCGUUUAUUUUAAUUUUAAGGGCAAUAUUUCAUGUUGGUGGUAUUUAAUGAUAUGUUUCCUUAUUUAUUUGUAUUUAUUUUGAUGUAGUUUUACUCUUUGGACUGGUCUUUGUAUUAUUUCAUGUCCGUCAAAGAGGUUGUGGGCUGGAUGAUUGUAUUGUUUUCGUGUAAGAUGCAGGAAGUGUCGCCCCACAGUGUUGUGUACUCACUCAGCAGGAUCAUGACACACAGCAAGAUGGCCACCAGCGCCCCCGUGCUCAGCCCCGCCCUGGCCGUCAGCGCCUCGGCGUUGCACAGCUUCAUGUUGCCCUCGCGGUCGCACGUGCACACCCUGACGGUGAGCGUGUUGGUGCUGCUGCGUGCGGGCAUGCCGCUGUCCGAGAUGACCACCGGCACGUGGUAGACGCUCUUCAGGAGGCUGCUGUAGCUGUUCCUCCGCGUCAGGAUCCACGCCGUGUUGUCUGAAACAUCCCCCCCAAAAAAAAGAAGAUUGGCGCUGAACUCUUGGCCGCACGAACGGUGGACGCUACCUCGGUUGUCGCGGACGGAGAAGUUGGCCUUGCCGGCAUUCUCCUGGGCCAGACUGAAGAAGAAGCGAUGUCCUCCGAGAGGCUCGUCCGGGUCAGUGGCGCUCACCGUUUGGAUCCUCUGGAAAGACCAAGAAGAGCUGAUUUUAAUUGCUGCAUGUGUGUUUGAUUCAUCCAUUCACGCACGGAGCACUGCCCCUAAUGCUCUUGGGCACGGAGUUGAGGAGCGCUGCACAGGUUGCACUCCAUCUUCUUCCCCAGCAAGGCGUUGUCACGACAACCUAAUGCCAUCGUCGAUACAAAUCAUGGAAUGGCCCUGAAAUGUCACCGAAAAUCCAUUAUGUGUAUUUAUGUGAAAGAUUCAUUCACAAGAAAUCCUCUUUGCAGGUGAAGUGUCUUGCCCAGUGACUGAGAUAGCAGAAGCUGGAUUCAAACCAGGAACCCGCAGAUCGCUCUACCAUAUGAGCCGUGCCGCCUUGACUUCCUUUGAUGUUUAUAAAUUGUAAUAAAAAGACAAAGUUCCAGCAUGACUAAGAGCAGGACUUUGAGACGGACUAAUGUGUUUCCAAGAAGGUUGUGAGUGACUCAGCCUGGAGACGUCUUACCUGACGGGGCUGCGUUUGACGUCCGGGUCGGAGGCGCUGACCGUGCUGAUGAUGGUGUUGGGCGCGGCGUCCUCUUUGACUUCCAUGUCGUAGUUGGCUCGCUCGAACACGGGCGGCUCGUCCACGUCCUCCACCGUGAUCUUGAUGGACGCCUCGUCCCUGAAGGACCCCGCAGAGAAGAAGCGCGGGACCAGGUGGACGUUGUCUACCUGCACGCGCAGGCCGUACUGGGGUCUCUUCUCGAAGUCCAGCGGCUGGAGGACACGGCAAAAGAAGGAGGGUGGGUUAGUGCCUGGAACCUUCUAAAGUCAUAAAGUCUUUUCAUUUCCAUCCUGCAGUCAAGUUAACAACUUCAGGAGCCUCCUGGGUCUUGGAGGAACGUCCGCAGUUAGUGCGACUCAUUCCCUUCCAUGCCACUUGCUACUUUAAUUGCGGGGUUCAAACCAGGAAUGCACGCACAGAUCGCUCCUCACAUGUUGGAAUGAUGGCUCUGGUUCUCGCCGUCAGAAAGUUCAAUGACAGCAUCGUGUUCGCGCUGCUGUGUCGUCGCCUCGUCGGGCUGAAUCAUUUUUAUUAUAGACGAAUCUCAAUGAAUACUAAAAUGGAUAAUUCAAUAAAAACAAGACAAAGAAGUGAAAUAUUUUCAAGAAAAAAUGAACAUUUUAGAAUUUUAAAGAUUAUUAUGUGUAUUCUGUUAAUUUCUGUAAUAUUUAUUGCUAUUAACAGGUUUUCUUUAGCAUGUAACUGAUUGUGGCAUCACACCUCGGCAAAAAUAAAAGCAGA